rnacentral:rRNA from 1 species
AUGGAGGACCUACCGGAGGCUCUGCUGACAGAGAUUCUCAAGAGGAUCACCCGGACAAGUGAUCUCAAUUCUCUUUCCCUCGUGUCGAAGCAACUCUACAAGAUAGAGGGGAAUCAAAGGGGUGCUAUCCGUGUUGGUUCCGGUCUUUGCACUGCUACAAAAGCACUGACAUCAUUGUGCGCCCGCUUCCCGAAUUUGCGGAAAGUGGAAAUCGAUUACUCUGGUUGGAUACCUGGACAUGGAAAGCAGCUGGACAACAAAGGCCUUUCUGUGUUUUCAUCUCACUGUUCCUCGCUGGUUGACCUCACCUUAAGCUUCUGCUCAUGCAUCGAUGACUCUGGGCUUGUUGGUUGCACAAGUCUAUCUGCUCUCCACCUUAUUGGUUGCGAGAAAAUUGACAGUGUAGAGUGGCUGGAAUACCUUGGUAGGGAUGGACCAUUGGAAGAGCUUGUAGUGAAGAAUUGCAAAGGAAUCAAUCAUCAUGACUUCCUAAAGUUUGGUUCAGGAUGGAUGAAGCUCCAGAAGUUUGAGUUUGAGGGCAAAAGAGGAAGAUAUGAUAGUCUUACAGGUGAUGUGGUCUAUGACUCCUCGUACGAUGCUCACAGCAUGGAUUUGUAUGAUUUCUGUUGUGAGAGUUUGAAGGAUUUAAGCUGCAACAAUCUUAAAAGCAUCUCACUUUGGCUCAACCUGCAGCUUUACUCUAGUGAUGUCGGCUAUUGUGAGACCAGGACGUCAUUUACUGAUAACAGCCUUUACGCUCUAGCCCUCAACUGCCGUAUGCUUCAGACGGUAGACCUCAGCUUUACAGGAUGUUCCCCUGACUGGCCAUCAGAAAUAGGAUUCACACAAGAGGGUUUUCUGGCACUCAUUCAGUCCUGCCCGAUUCGUGUUCUUGUGCAAAAUACCGCCAACUUCUUUGAUGACGAGGGGAUGAAGGGCCUCUCAUCCUCACCACAUCUGGAGACACUUCAGCUUAUAUUGUGUCACGCGGUAACUGAUGCUGGGAUGCGCUUCAUUGCGCACACCCCAGGCUUGAGUAAUCUCACACUUCAGUUGUGUCAAUACAUUACUGAUGUUGGAGUGGCUGAACUGAGGCGUGCACAUAAGUUAGAGUCUUUGGUCAUUGAGUGUUGUGGUGAGGUCUCUCUGCAAGCUGCGCAGGGUGUCGCCAAGUCAGUUCACUACUCCAGCAACUAUUCAGAUGACCUUAGGAAGAGAAUUGGCCUUGGCGGCUAUUAUUGA